GACGAACGCUGGCGGCGUGCUUAACACAUGCAAGUCGAACGAACAGCGGUGGAACCUUCCUUCUAUCAAUUUUCGUGGCGCACGUGUGAGUAACGCGUAAUCAACAUGUACUUGACAGGGGGACAACAGGGGGAAACGACUGAUAAUACGGCAUACGAUCGAAUCUCGGCAUUGAGGAUAGAUAAAAGGUUGUGUCGACAUGUAUGCUUUGAUUGGAGGAGGGGUACGUGCCUGAUUAGCUAGUUGGUUGGCAAACGGCCGACCAGGGCAAGGAUCCGUAGCCGACCUAGGAGAGUAAUCGGCCACAUGGGAACGGGGACACGGCCAGGCCUCCACCGGGAGGCAGCAGUGGGGAACCUUCCGCAUUGGGGGAAGGCCUGCCGGAGCAACGCGGCGUGGGUGAGGAAGGCCUUCGGUUCGAAAGACUCUUUUAUCGGGACGAAAGACAUGUUUACGUAACUAUGCACGUAUUGACGGUACCUGAACAGAAAGCCACGGCUAACUACGUG
rnacentral:rRNA from 1 species